GCCCAGACUCCUACGGGAGGCAGCAGUGGGGAAUAUUGCGCAAUGGGCGAAAGCCUGACGCAGCGACGCCGCGUGAGGGAUGAAGGUCUUCGGAUCGUAAACCUCUGUCAGCAGGGAAGAACGGUCACUGUGCUAAUCAGCAGUGAAUUGACGGUACCUGCAAAGGAAGCACCGGCUAACUCCGUGCCAGCAGCCGCGGUAAUACGGAGGGUGCAAGCGUUGUCCGGAAUCAUUGGGCGUAAAGAGUUCGUAGGCGGCAUGUAAAGUCAGGUGUUAAAGGCGCAGGCUCAACCUGUGUAUGGCACUUGAUACUUGCAAGCUGGAAUGCGGUAGAGGUAAAGGGAAUUCCUGGUGUAGCGGUGAAAUGCGUAGAUAUCAGGAGGAACACCGGUGGCGAAGGCGGCUUACUGGACAGUGACUGACGUUGAGGCUCGAAAGCGUGGGGAGCGAACAGGAUUAGAUACCCGAGUAA
rnacentral:rRNA from 1 species